rnacentral:rRNA from 1 species
AAUCAACGCUGGCGGCGUGCCUAACACAUGCAAGUCGAACGAGAAAGUGGAGCAAUCCAUGAGUAAAGUGGCGCACGGGUGAGUAACACGUGACUAACCUACCCUUGAGUGGGGGAUAACCUAGGGAAACCUGGGCUAAUACCGCAUAAUACCUACGGGUCAAAGGAGCAAUUCGCUUUAGGAGGGGGUCGCGGCAGAUUAGUUAGUUGGCGGGGUAAUGGCCCACCAAGACGAUGAUCUGAUCCGGCCUGAGAGGGCGCACGGACACACUGGAACUGAAACACGGUCCAGACUCCUACGGGAGGCAGCAGUGGGGAAUUUUGCGCAAUGGGGGAAACCCUGACGCAGCAACGCCGCGUGGAGGAUGAAGACCCUUGGGUCGUAAACUCCUUUCGAUCGGGACGAUAAUGACGGUA